rnacentral:tmRNA from 1 species
GGGACUGAUUUGGUUUUGACAUUUAAACAUUAAGUAAAGUAUGAAGCAGGUCGAAGUAGGCUAUUCUUCGUAAAAAAUAUACCACAUUAUAAUAAAUGCUAAUAAUAUAAUUUCUUUUAAUUCUAAACAGAUCAAUAAAAAUUUAAUAAAUUCUUUAAGUUUUGCUGUUUAAUUUAUCUUUUGCUUUGUUAAUAUAAUUGACUCACUAUAACUAGACUUUUCUUUUUUUUAUAGUUUAGAAUAUACUUUAUGUAUCGUUCAUUUUUGAACUAUACCUGUGAAUGAGUACUUUAAUAAAAUUUAAAUGGACGUGGGUUCGAUUCCCAUCAGUUCCA